rnacentral:rRNA from 1 species
CCUACGGGAGGCAGCAGUGAGGAAUAUUGGUCAAUGGGCGAGAGCCUGAACCAGCCAAGUCGCGUGAAGGAUGACGGCCCUACGGGUUGUAAACUUCUUUUGUCAGGGAGCAAUUGAGUCCACGUGUGGGCUUAGCGAGAGUACCUGAAGAAAAAGCAUCGGCUAACUCCGUGCCAGCAGCCGCGGUAAUACGGAGGAUGCGAGCGUUAUCCGGAUUUAUUGGGGUUAAAGGGUGCGUAGGCGGUCCGUUAAGUCAGCGGGAAAAUUGCGGGGCUCAACCCCGUCGAGCCGUUGAAACUGGCAGACUUGAGUUGGCGAGAGGUACGCGGAAUGCGCGGUGUAGCGGUGAAAUGCGUAGAUAUCGCGCAGAACUCCGAUUGCGAAGGCGGCGUACCGGCGCCAGACUGACGCUGAGGCACGAAAGCGUGGGGAUCGAACAGGAUUAGAUACCCUGGUAGUC